AUUGAACGCUGGCGGCAGGCCUAACACAUGCAAGUCGAACGGCAGCACAGAAGAGCUUGCUCUUUGGGUGGCGAGUGGCGGACGGGUGAGUAAUGUCUGGGAAACUGCCCGAUGGAGGGGGAUAACUACUGGAAACGGUAGCUAAUACCGCAUAACGUCGCGAGACCAAAGUGGGGGACCUUCGGGCCUCACACCAUCGGAUGUGCCCAGAUGGGAUUAGCUAGUAGGUGGGGUAACGGCUCACCUAGGCGACGAUCCCUAGCGGGUCUGAGAGGGUGACCAGCCACACUGAAACUGAGACACGGUCCAGACUCCUACGGGAGGCAGCAGUGGGGAAUAUUGCACAAUGGGCGCAAGCCUGAUGCAGCCAUGCCGCGUGUAUGAAGAAGGCCUUCGGGUUGUAAAGUACUUUCAGCGGGGAGGAAGGCGGUGAGGUUAAUAACCUCGCCGAUUGACGUUACCCGCAGAAGAAGCACCGGCUAACUCCGUGCCAGCCGCCGCCGUAA
rnacentral:rRNA from 1 species